UCCGGUUGAUCCUGCCGGACCCGACUGCUAUUUGGAUGAGAAUAAGCCAUGCGAGUUGAAUGGGAUACCUAAAGUUCCCAUAGCAAACUGCUCAGUAACACAUGAUCAACUUACCCUAUAGAGAAAAAUAACCUCGGGAAACUGAGGAUAAUGUUUCAUAAUUGAAUUGGCUUGGAAAAGUUUUUCAAUGAAAAGGAUAAAAAAAAUGGUUUUUAUCUGCUAUAGGAUAGGAUCGUGUUCGAUUAUGGUUGUUGGUGAGAUAAUGGCUCACCAAGCCGAUAAUCGAUAGGGGCCGUGAGAGCGGGAGCCCCGAGAUGGGUACUGAGACAACGACCCAGGCCUUACGAGGCGCAGCAGGCGCGGAACCUCCGCAAUACACGAAAGUGUGACGGGGUUACCCAAAGUGUUCAAUUUGAACUGUGGUAGGUGAGUAAUGUCCCCUACUAGAAAGGAGAGGGCAAGGCUGGUGCCAGCCGCCGCGGUAAAGCCAGCUCUUCAAGUGGUCGGGAUAAUUAUUGGGCUUAAAGCGUCCGUAGCCGGCUUAGCAAGUCUCCUGUUAAAUUCAGCGACCUAAUCGUUGAGCCGCGGGAGAUACUACUAGGCUAGGAGGCGGGAGAGGUCGACGGUAUUUCCGGGGUAGGGGUGAAAUCCUAUAAUCCCGGGAGGACCACCAGUGGCGAAGGCUGUCGACUAGAACGCGCUCGACGGUGAGGGACGAAAGCUGGGGGAGCGAACCGGAUUAGAUACCCGGGUAGUCCCAGCCGUAAACGAUGCGGGCUAGGUGUUGGGGUGGCUACGUGCCACUUCAGUGCCGCAGGGAAGCCAUUAAGCCCGCCGCCUGGGGAGUACGGCCGCAAGGCUGAAACUUAAAGGAAUUGGCGGGGGAGCACCACAAGGCGUGAAGCUUGCGGUUCAAUUGGAGUCAACGCCGGG
rnacentral:rRNA from 1 species